UACGUAGGCAGCAAGCGUUGUUCGGAAUUACUGGGCGUAAAGAGUGUGUAGGCGGUGCUCUAAGUUUGGUGUGAAAUCUCCCGGCUCAACCGGGAGGCUGCAUCGAAUACUGGAAUGCUAGAGGGUGGGAGAGGUAAGCGGGAAUUCCUGGUGUAGCGGUGAAAUGCGUAGAUAUCAGGAGGAACACCAAUGGCGAAGGCAGCUCACUGGGACGAUACUGACGCUGAGACGCGAAAGCGUGGGGAGCAAACAGG
rnacentral:rRNA from 1 species